rnacentral:rRNA from 1 species
AGGAUGAACGCUGGCGGCGUGCCUAAUACAUGCAAGUCGAGCGGUAAGGCCACUUCGGUGGUACACGAGCGGCGGACGGCUGAGUAACACGUAGGAACGUACCCCAAAGUGAGGCAUAAGCACCAGAAAUGGUGUCUAAUACCGCAUGUGGCCUAACAGGCUAAAGCUCCGGCGCUUUGGGAACGGCCUGCGCAUGAUUAGCUUGUUGGUGAGGUAAAAGCUCACCAAGGCAGUGAUCAUUAGCUGGUCUGAGAGGAUGACCAGCCAGACUGGGACUGAGAACGGCCCAGACUCCUACGGGAGGCAGCAGUAGGGAAUUUUCCACAAUGGGCGAAAGCCUGAUGGAGCAACGCCGCGUGCAGGAUGAAGGCUCUAGGGUCGUAACUGCUUUUAUCUGUGACGAAUAUGACGGUAGCAGAUGAAUAAGGAUCGGCUAACUCCGUGCCAGCAGCCGC